UAAAUUUAUGUUUUAUAUAAAAUAACUAUCAUAAAUGCUACAUGUAUGUCCCCAAUAUUUAAAAUCUUACUAUUUUAUUUUACAGAAAGAAGCUUACAAUAUUUUAUAUAGGCAAGUGUUAAGCAGGUUGUUAGACAUUAGCAGGCCUGAAGGAAAACAAGAGGAUCAAGACAACAUGCUUCAACAGCUACAAUCAAGAUAAUAUGCUUCACCAGUUACCAUUAAAUGAAGAAAGAAAGACAUCAGUGUAUAAUUAUUAUAAGACAUCACUUAUAAUCAUUUAUUAGGUCUCAGAUCCAAAAAAAUGUCCCCACACAGCACAAUGAUAUCUUACAGUUACAUGACUUAGUAAAAAUUUUAGAUCUGUUCAUUUUCAAAACAAGAUAUUUCGCAUUCCUGAUUGCAUGACUAAUGCAUGGUGGUCCACUAUGGUUUUAGAAAGGGAGUAAAAGCAACAUUCUUUGAAGACUCACUCAUAUUGGCUUAGAGUUGAUUUAGAUUUUUCCCCUGGUGAGUUUCUCAUGAGUUAAGCUCCUGAGAUAAUAGUAGAGUUCAAAGGGAACACUGGCUGGGUGAAAAGAACAAAAAAGACAUUUUGCAACCAACAUUACAAAGUAGCCUUUCAAGAAAAUGUCGAUAAGCAAGUACAUCAUGUAGACAAGGCAAAGUCAUCACCAUAGUUCCCCAAAGCCCAGGCAUGACUCUCCUGCUGAUGAGAAGAUAUCCAAACUCCCACUCUGCACAGCUGCCUCCUGCUGUGCCCCUGCCCACUUCACAAGCGGAGGCCCUUCCAGACAACAGCUACAUAGUGGGGCAGGCCCUAGCAGGAGGCAUGCCUAGAUACCAUCCCAACUGUGCACAGGCCCAAGCCAGAAGCUCAACCAGACAACCGGUCAGCUCAGGUGUCAGAAGGCAACCAUUCUGAACCCAGGAAUUGGUACACUGGUGAGCUGCUGAGAACUGAAGUCCACUGAGUGAGCAAAAAGUUGCCUCAACAAAGGCACAGCAGGCUGCAUCUGUUGAAAUGAGAAGAAACAUAAAUAAGUCUCAAAACCAGACUUCCACAUCACCUAAGGCAACCCCAAAGGGAAACAAGAUGAAACAAUCUGAUACCAACCACCUGGACUCCCUGAACUGGCAACAAAAGAGGAUCUGGAAAAAAUGAAAUCAAAAAUAAUUUCUAAGAUAACAAAAGAGAUUGUGCCC
rnacentral:lncRNA from 1 species